UACGUAGGGUGCGAGCGUUAAUCGGAAUUACUGGGCGUAAAGCGUGCGCAGGCGGUGAUGUAAGACAGAUGUGAAAUCCCCGGGCUCAACCUGGGACCUGCAUUUGUGACUGCAUCGCUAGAGUACGGUAGAGGGGGAUGGAAUUCCGCGUGUAGCAGUGAAAUGCGUAGAUAUGCGGAGGAACACCGAUGGCGAAGGCAAUCCCCUGGACCUGUACUGACGCUCAUGCACGAAAGCGUGGGGAUCAAACAGG
rnacentral:rRNA from 1 species